rnacentral:rRNA from 1 species
UACGUAGGGUGCAAGCGUUGUCCGGAAUUAUUGGGCGUAAAGAGCUCGUAGGCGGUUUGUCGCGUCUGCUGUGAAAACUCGGGGCUUAACUCCGGGCCUGCAGUGGGUACGGGCAGACUAGAAUGCGGUAGGGGAGACUGGAAUUCCUGGUGUAGCGGUGAAAUGCGCAGAUAUCAGGAGGAACACCGGUGGCGAAGGCGGGUCUCUGGGCCGUAACUGACGCUGAGGAGCGAAAGCCAGGGGAGCAAACGGG